rnacentral:rRNA from 1 species
GCAUAUCAAUAAGCGGAGGAAAAGAAACCAACAGGGAUUGCCCUAGUAACGGCGAGUGAAGCGGCAACAGCUCAAAUUUGAAAUCUGGCUCUUUUAGGGUCCGAGUUGUAAUUUGCAGAGGGUGCUUUGGCAAAGGUUGUGGUCUAAGUUCCUUGGAACAGGACGUCACAGAGGGUGAGAAUCCCGUACGUGGCCGCCAACCCGCGCUAUGUAAAGCCCCUUCGACGAGUCGAGUUGUUUGGGAAUGCAGCUCUAAAUGGGAGGUAAAUUUCUUCUAAAGCUAAAUAUUGGCCAGAGACCGAUAGCGCACAAGUAGAGUGAUCGAAAGAUGAAAAGCACUUUGGAAAGAGAGUCAAAAAGCACGUGAAAUUGUUGAAAGGGAAGCGCUUGCAGCCAGACUUGCCUGUAGUUGCUCAUCCGGGCUCUUGCCCGGUGCACUCUUCUAUGGGCAGGCCAGCAUCAGUCUUGGCGGUCGGAUAAAUGCGUGCUAAACGUACCUCUCUUCGGGGAGGACUUAUAGGGCACGCGGCAUACGACCAGCCGGGACUGAGGUCCGCGCAUCUGCUAGGAUGCUGGCGUAAUGGCUGUAAGCGGCCCGUCUUGAAACACGGACCAAGGAGUCUAACAUCUAUGCGAGUGUUUGGGUGUCAAGCCCGAGCGCGUAAUGAAAGUGAACGGAGGUGGGAACCCCUCGGGGUGCACCAUCGACCGAUCCUGAUGUCUUCGGAUGGAUUUGAGUAAGAGCAUAGCUGUUGGGACCCGAAAGAUGGUGAACUAUGCCUGAAUAGGGUGAAGCCAGAGGAAACUCUGGUGGAGGCUCGCAGCGGUUCUGACGUGCAAAUCGAUCGUUCAAAUUUGGGCAAUAGGGGCGAAAAGACUAAUCGAACUAUCUAGUAGCUGGUUCCUGCCGA